AAAAGGCUUUAUCUCUUUCUUUCAAUAAGGGUUUUUCUUCAACGUCUCUCUCUCUUUCAAUAAGGGCUUUUCUUCAGUUUCAGCGUCUUUCUCUCCUAUUCCUUCAUCUCUUCUUCAUUCUUCCCUUAUUCUUCAUCUUUUUGUUUGUUUCAGACGGAACUCAUAGAUUUUAGGUGCACAAUUGUAAUGAAAGGUCAGAAAUCUCUUAGAAGAAGCCUACAAAUUUGAAUUGUUGAUUCAACCGACAGUGAUGAAGUUAAUGUCGGUCCUACUUUUAGUUUGGGAAUUUCUGCAAAUCAAUCUCCACAAGAAGCUGGUGGUGAGGUUAAUCAAAAUCUUCAAGCAUUGCAUGUGAAGAAAAAGGGCGGUAGAAGUAAGAAAAAAUUUAGUGAAUUGAGUUCUAAAUCUAAAUCGAAAAGAAAACGAGUUGAUGUUGCAUCGGAAUCUAAGAAAUUUGUUGACAGUGAUGAUGAUUUUGAGGAUUUACCUCUUCAAUUUCAGUCAAAGAAAGUGAGACCUACAGUUGCUCAGGAGAAGAAUCCAAAAAGUCGAAAUCGAUUGUGCAAAAAAAUAGUUCUACUGGAGAGUUUUUAUCCGAAAACAGAAGGUGGCAGGUGUUUGAUAAAUCUGUUUGUUUGCUGAAGGACUCAUGAAUUUCUAAAAUGGGAAAGAGAAGAAACUGGUUUACCUUUGUCAAGAGACUUUCCAUUCCUGAAACAGAACCAAUAGCUGAUCAAAAGAAACCAAAGAGAUGGAAAUGUUGCUUUUUGAAAAAUUUCAAGUUGAGGAAAUGUCCUGCCAUAACAUCAGCUACUCAACAAACAUUAACUGAGGCGAAAGAACAGCAAAGGAAACAUGCUUUUGCAACUGCUGCCAAUGCUGCUGCUGAUGUUAUCCUUCUAACGAAUGCUCCAAACGAAUUCAAAAGGAAACACAAACAAGCUGCCAUUAAAAUCCAAAGUGCUUAUCGUGCUCACCUGUGCAGGCCAAGAAAGCAUUAAGUGCUAUAAAGGGUCUUGUGAAGCUUCAAGCAGUGAUUAGAGGUGAAAUUGUCAGAAGAAGACUUAUUGCCAAAUUAAAGUUCAUGUUGCCACUUCAUCAAAAGCCAAACACAAGAGUUUGUCAAAUUAAACUCCCUACUUUAGAAGAUUAUCAUGACAAUAAUGACAAGAAACUCAUCAAUAGUCCAAGGGAAAUUAUGAAAUCUAAAGAACUAAAGCUUAAAUGCAAGAGCCUUAGGGCUUCAAAUUUCAACUUGGCUUCAGAACAAGACAGUGAAGCCUUGUGGUCAAGAAGAGAAAAAGCCAUUAAAAAAUGAGAGCAUUUGAUGAAAUACUUAUUUUCACUCAGGACAAAAUCCUAGAUUUGCAGCAUUACUUCUUGACAUGAAAACAAUCAGAAAAAUGGAGCUAUAAUUGAAGCUUCAAACUUCUUGAGUAAUCUAUCUAUAGUUGAUUGAUGAAAGCCAGUGCACAUCUUUUAUUACUGAUUUUAACACUUCCAUAGACUUUCCACAAUGUGUAUAUAUAUUAUCAGCAUAAUAAUAGUAUUUCUUCAUGAUUUUAGUAGAACUGCAU